rnacentral:precursor_RNA from 15 species
CUACAAAAUAAAUUACUAAAUCAGUUGAUGUAAAGGAAUUGCAGGAUUGAAAUGUCUGCAGCGUUUUAGUCUUGUAAAUUCCUUUGGGUUUACUGAUAAAAAAGGGGGUGAUGGGUCU